rnacentral:rRNA from 1 species
AAACUGGGUCUAAUACUGGAUAUGACUUCUCACCGCACGGUGGGGGGUGGAAAUAUUUAUUGUUCUUCUAUGGACUCGCGGCCUAUCUUCUUGUUGGUGAGGUAAUGGCUCACCAAUGCGACCACAGGUAGCCCGCCUGAGAGGGUGACCCGCCCCCCUGGGACUGGGACCCCGCCCAGACUCCUACGGG